AUCCAGCUGACGAGUCCCAAAUAGGACGAAACGCGCUCCAACCUGGAU
rfam:Schistosoma mansoni, Puerto Rico, WGS project CABG01000000 data, contig: 0470